rnacentral:rRNA from 1 species
UGGGGAAUAUUGCGCAAUGGGCGAAAGCCUGACGCAGCGACGCCGCGUGAGGGAUGAAGGCCUUCGGGUUGUAAACCUCUUUCAGCAGGGACGAAGCGAAAGUGACGGUACCUGCAGAAGAAGCACCGGCCAACUACGUGCCAGCAGCCGCGGUAAUACGUAGGGUGCAAGCGUUGUCCGGAAUUAUUGGGCGUAAAGAGCUCGUAGGUGGCCUGUCGCGUCGGCUGUGAAAACUCAGGGCUCAACCCUGAGCCUGCAGUCGAUACGGGCAGGCUAGAGUCCGGCAGGGGAGACUGGAAUUCCUGGUGUAGCGGUGAAAUGCGCAGAUAUCAGGAGGAACACCGGUGGCGAAGGCGGGUCUCUGGGCCGGAACUGACACUGAGGAGCGAAAGCGUGGGGAGCGAACAG